rnacentral:lncRNA from 1 species
AGAAGUCAGACUUUUAGAGGGCUGUUGAAAAGACAAAGAGAACCAAGGCGCACUACCCCCCCAAUUUCUGCUCCAUGCCUUACCUUGGGACACUGGGCGGGGCCCUCGUAGGCCUAGAUGGAACUUGUGGAGGGGCUCCGAAGGAGUCACUGCUGCUGGGGAAAGGAGUACUGGUGACAGUAACAGUUUCCCUCUGUCUUUUGGCUGUCCACACUGAAGGAUGAUAGAGAUGAGUAGAAGAAGGCCAAACCCAGCCAUCACCAGAACAGGGCCUGCUGGCUUUGUGAGCAUUUCACAAUAUUGUCUGGAGCUGUUUGGCUUAUAGAAGAGGGAAGGUACUAUGAGGUGAUGAUACAGUGUUUUGGUGUCCCAAAGAAAUAAAAUCCAGCACUGUCCAAUUGAAGUAUAAUGCAAGCCACAUUUCUAG